GGGAGGUUGGUCCUGGGUUGUAGAUGGAGGCGCAGGCCGUAGGGGUGUCUUGGGGAUCUGGGACAGAUGCUUUGUGGAGGCUUCCUGGGUCUAUCGGGUGACAAGUUAGGAGGUGUCCUGGAGCAGUGGGGAAGGGACAGGUUGCAGAGAGAGGGGCGUCCCAGUAAUGUGUAUAGGGGAACAGUGGGGUGGGUGUCACUGGACUCUGUGUACGUGUGUGUGUGUGUGUGUGUGUGUGUGUGUCAGUCACUCGAGGUAUCCUGCAACGGGGGGCCGGGGCGGGGGGGGGGGGGGUGGUCACCUAGUGUUUCCGUAGUGCAGCCCUGAGUCCUAGGCCUUUGGCUUCUGGGGAAAGUGUCGGCCACAUAGAACUCGCAGGGGCCCCGGCCCCAGCUCUGCGGGCUCCUCCGUUCUGCGGCGGCUGCCCUGGACUGUGGUGACCGUGGUGACAAAAGCCAGCGGGACUGCCUCACCCCCGUGCCCUCCCGUCUUCGUUGUCGCUCUCGUCUCUGCAGCUGUGGGAACAGGGAAUCUUGAACAGCUGCCCUUCUGUUCCUACACGUGUAUCUGUCUUGAAGCAAAUCCAGUCUACAGACCUUGGGUUUACUCAAAAGCUUAAAUUAGGGAUUUUUUUUUUUUAAACCUGGAUUUCCCAAUUGAUUUGCUGUAGGAUUCUUUGAGAGCACAAACACACCAGUACGUCUAAAAUGAAUCGGUUUGUGGAAAAUCAGCUUAAUUCAACAGACGUUGAGCUCAAUUAUCUGCUCUGCUCAAAACCCUGUAUCGUGGGGAAUCUCAGAGCAGCAGGACCGGGCCCGGCCCCCCGGGAAGUUGGCAUAGCUGGAAGGCUGGGGCCUGGCCUUGAAGUAGGUCAAUAACAGAGACCGGUGUGUGGUCGGCACGCCACGAGGCAGGCGUGAUCGGCGUCUGAGGAGGCGGUCCGAGACAGCGGGGAGGAUUCCAAAAGGGAAGACGCUUUUGUGGAGGACCCUGGCCGGUACCUUCCCGGAGCACCCGCUGGCGAUGACCGAUGACCGAUGCCCGUAGGUGGGCUCUCGCCAGCGCUCCGCCCUCUGACGGAACGGGCCGGGGCAGGUCGGCUCCCCGCCGUGCUCAUCUAGCCUGGCGUCCCACUGGACGGGAGGAGUGAGCAGCCAGCGCCAGACCCAGGUACUUCUGUCGUCUUGUCUUCAGGUUUUUAGCGCGACGCGUUUGGAACAGAAGCUGCAAGAAAAAGACGGCCAACGCCUUUUAAACCACCUUCGAGAUCCGACACUUUGAGCGGCGUGUGCUGUUCUGCCCUCCGGUGUUUGGGGAGCCGUUUCAAAGCCAGCUGCGGCCGUCAGCACACUCCACUGCUAAGUGUUUUAGAGCACUCUUGCUUACGCACUAUCACACCUAAGAAAAUGGACAAAGGCGAUUCCGUAACAUCACUUAAUAACCAGUUACCGUCCGGCUUCACCUGGUCGCUACCGAAAUACGUUUCCCUCCGACAGCGAACUUAGGAAAAUCUUCACACAGCAAAGCCGAGUUCUACAGGGAACGCCCGAGUUCCGUUACUGUCCACUAGUUUCCUUGCGUGUCUGUUCUCCAGUCUGUCCUCCGCAAUCCACUCACCGGCGCGUCGCACGUUCUGAAAUGCACAGCGUGAGCUGCAGACCCGGCGCCGUGCGGAGUCGCCCUCCAGAACUGACCCUUGGAACUUACUCUCGGAAUUUCCGCUUUCCCUCGAUGCAAACUUUAGGUCUGAGUUGGAUACCUCAGAAUGUACACAUCUUGUCACGUUUGCUGAGUUUAGACCAACGUGUACACAGGUGUCACUCGUGCCUCUGUCAAGAUAGAGAUCUUUUCCAUGGCUCCAGAAAGUUCUCUCACGCCCCUUCCUACCCUUCGCAGGCAGCCAUUCUGGUUCUUUCCACCGUGGGUUAAUUUUGCCCAUUCUAAGUAGAACCAUAUCGCGCCUACUCUUUGACGUAAGGCUUCUUUCAGUGGGUGUGACCCUCUCUCUGUCCUUACGUGGGUCGUGGUCUGUUGCUUUGUAACAAGCCAACCUCUCGUGUGGGUCUUUACAGGUGGAGCUGCCGUGGACAUUCUUGUACACGUUUGUAAACAUGUUUGCGUUUCUGUUGUGUAAAUGCCCGGGAGUGAGAUCGCCGGGUCACAAGGCAGGGGUGUGUUUAGUUUUCUAACAAACCAGCGGACCUUUCUCCUGGGCUGUGCCGCUUCCCGUCCCUACCGGCGGCGAUGGGCACCCUGGCCCCUUUGCCAGCCCGGCGGUGUUUGUGUUCAUUAGGGCCGUUCUGGUGAGCGUGGCGUAACUGCUCCGUGUGGUUUUCACCCAGGAAAGUUACAGCGGCCGUACCCAGAAUUCCUGGGUGCCCCGCUCCUACUCCCGGAUUCCCCACAUGCUAACACUUCUGUUACGUUUUCCCUCCCUCCCUCCCUCCCUCCCUCCGUUCUCGGUCUCUCCCUCUCUACACACGCGUGUUGCAGGCACACACAUACAUGCACACCUGCUCACACAUACGCACAUACACAUCCACACGCGCAUGCACACGCAUUUUCUAAACUGGCAAAGUACGAGUGGCAGCCGCGGUACCUUUUUACCACUAAGGACUUGGUGUGUAUUUCCUGAAGACAAGGACUCACUUCUCUUACGUAGUCAUAACGUGGUGAUGGAAAUCAGGACGCACACGUGAGGACAGUGUGGCCAUGUGAUGUUCAGGCCGUCCUGAGGUUUUGUGAGUUGGCCCAAUGAUGUCCUUUACAGUGAAAGGAACCAGGGUCACCGAGCUGCGGGACUCAUCAUGUUUGCUUAGCUCCUCGGGUCUGAACAGUUUCUGAGACUUUGUAUUUCACAACAUCAACAUUCUUGACAAAUGCAAGCCAGUUAUUUGGCGACUUUCCAUCCGUUUGGGUUUGCCCGACCUUUCUAGUGACCUUCGGGUUAUACACCCGUGGCAGGAAAACCCCAAUGUGAUGCUGAGUCCUCGUGUGUCCCGUUGGGAGGUACGCGUGUCGACCUCGUCAGUCCCCCACCCGGCAGUGUUCACUCCAGCCCCGGGAUGAGGGUGACGGUGGCACCCGCCAGGCUUCCCCUGUAAAGUCGCUGGCCCGUUCACCUUCCGCAGUCGGCGGUGUCUGACUUUGAGACCUUGUUCACCCCUUUCACCCCUAGACUGAUCUCCUAGUUCAGCCUUCAUUGGUACUUUUUACCCUGACGGUUGCUACAUGGUGACUGACCUCUUGGUAUCAGAGCAGAUUCAUCGAGCCUGGCCGUGUCCGGGAGGGUACUGAGAAGGGCCCCGACCUGGCCAAGUGGGAGCCCCUCCAGGCUGACUCCGCUGCCCCUUCACACGUCUCUGUCGAUCUGUGGCCGCAUUUGGUAUAAAAAGGUUUCUUGGCACAAGUGAUCAGACGCACGUGUAUCUUGUCAUGAGAGAUCCGUUCCCCGCUCGAAGGGUAGCCGUCACGGACCGUCUUUGUGCACCGGCCUUUUGCACGGAGCAGGGUGUCUCAGCACCGCCUGCUGGCGUUUAGAGAGGGGUGCACACGGAGGCUCACUCUUUCUUCCUUCUUCCAAGUGCUCCCAGUUGACUCGGCCGCUCUCCUACAUGGACCUGCAGAACCAGCUGCAGUUUAACAGGAGUGUUCCUGCACAUUCCAGUAACUUGGCCGCGCGCUAUUCCUGCCCCGACGCGAUCAGAAUCGAGAAACUGACGCACUCGUCCGGCGAGUCCUACCGUGGCGGGGAUCCGGGCCUCAGAGCCGGGCCUGACGUGAGCGGCUCGGCCUCCUUCUCCGUCAUCUCCGAGGAGAGGCUCAGCUAUGCCGUCCACCUGGCCAAGAGGGAUGUGAGGCGCAGGCAGUUCGAACAGCACGUGAGACAGCAGCGUCUCAGAAGCGAGCCCCAAACCUCUCAGAGGUGGGGACACCCCGAGCACAAGGUGCCUGAGCACAGGGAACAGAGGAAGGAGGCAAGGAGCCGGGAAAUGUGUCACUGCAGCCACGAGACGUGCGGGCAGGGAGCUUCCUGCUCGGGUGCGAAGGUUCACCUGUGUACCCCUCAGCCGGGGCAGCCCCCUGCCCUGGAGCCGGGGCCCCAGCCGCACACCAGGACAGGUGGCCCGCGGGGCCUGCUGGGGGUGCAGAGACUCCAGGAGGAGCUGACCACUUGCGUCCGUAGGAUGGAAGAAGUAAUUAAAAGAGAUAGAACGGAAGAAGCUUUGGAACCGGAUGAGGAGCAGCGAGCCCGCGUCAGGAGGCAGGAACAGGCCGUGCGCUGUGCCCGGAUGCUGUACUCCCUGCAGCAGCAGGUGAAAGAAAUCCAGGAAGAAUUGGAUAAAUUGAGUCCACGUAAGAUUAAACAUACCGAGAAGUCGUGGGCGAUGUCCCGGCUGGCGGCUGCCCACCGAAGCGCCAUCCGGGCCCUGCAGGUGUUUGUGACCCAGUUCGCCGACCGCGGGGAGCGGCCCCUCCCUGCCCGGUGCAGGGAGCUGGGCGGCCUCAUUCGCCAGCUCUCGCUCUGCUCCGCCAAGCUGGACGCCGACUCCUCUGUGUCCGAGGUGGUCAUAGACAUCCUGCGGCAGAUCGAGGCUUUGGAGUCCCUCCUGGAAAAGAAACUGUCACCAAAAAAGGUGAAGAAAUGUUUCCCGGAAGUUCAGACCAGGUUUCCCGUUGGUGGCCACAGGGCCUUGGAGAGAUGGCGGAGUUCUUCGCCAAAAGGCGAGAGGAGACCCCUCCUAGCAAAGGAGAUACUUCUGCAGGACGCGCGACAACCUUCCAGGGCAAACAGGCUUCUUGCUGAUAAGUGUCAGCCUGGGGCAGCACCUGCAGCGACCCAGCGGUCCGCGAACGGGAACGGGCUUGGUGUGAGGGGCGCGGACAUCCGUCCGGAAGGGGCCCCUCCUGCUCCGGACCACAGCGCGAGCCUCCCGGCAGAGCCCGUGGCCGUGGCGAGAGCGGGAGCAGCGGCCUGGAGGCCCGGGGCGGGGAGCAUACCGCCCAGGAAGAAGGAGGCACCGGUGGGGCCGCCGCAGGGACCCCUCAGAGCUGAGGACCGUCGGCCGCCCCAAGGCCGCGGCAAAAGCAGACUGCAGCGCACGACCGUGUCAUCCAGGCUGAAAAGGAGCCAGCAGCCAGUGAGGGACCUCAGGGCACCCUGGGUGCCUCCAAACCCCACGUCCCCACCAGCGUCCCCCAAAUGUGCCGCCUGGCUGAAGGUGAGGCCCGGCCCCAGAGAUGCCGCCAGGGAGCGGUCUGUCCAGCAGGAAGAGGCUCAGGAGGCCAGUGCGUUGACAGGUGCUGUUGCACACGAAGCCAUGAGACUCGCCUGGCUUGACGCUGAAGCUCACAAAACACUGAAGGAGCUGGAGGAGGUGAAAGCCGCGGGCGCGGACGGCGCGCACAGGCAGAGUGACUCUGCUGCCCAGUUAGCAGACAAGGUAGAGAAGGCGGUUCUGGAGCGUCUGAAGCCUCUCCUGGUCAAGGCCCAGAGAGUCAACUCUUCUCUGGAAGCGGAGGUGCCGAAGGACCGGCCGCCGGCAGACACGGCGACAGCCCGGCCUACGGAUGAGGCUGUGGCCGCGGACGGGGGGCCCGGCAGCCUCCGCCAGCAGGGCGACUGUCUGGAAGGCACCGCGCUCCGCUGUGACGUCUUGGCGUCGCAAGCCCGGGCCCCCGGGGCAGGCGGCAGGGACAGCCCGUUUCUGGACACCAUGAUGCUGCGCAUGGAGGAGAUGGAGAAAUACCAGGAGAUGGUUCGCCGAAGAUACAAUGAAAUUGUAUAUGCUGAUCCCCGUCUGUGGACGCAGGAAGGGAAGAGUGAGCAGACGCUCCCGGCGGUAGGUGAAAGGCCUCUCUCUCCUCAUCCAGUCGGGACCACAAAGAGCCCCGCGCGCAAAGACCCGGGCGCGAGCAUCGUGUUGGAAAGACCUCGCAAUGGCAGCUCCCUGGAUGCGAGUGUGGACGCUGGCGAGGAGUCUGAGAAGAGGGAGGCUCCCCUUCCGCCCCUUCCGGAAGAGUCUCUGCGGCAGGAAGGCCGCACCGCCCUCCUGGUGCCCCCGGGCAUGCGACGCAGCAUCCGCGACUCCUGCAGCCGCUUCGAGCAGUAUCUCCGCAUGACCGCGCACGAGGCCGUGGGCGCCUUCAACCCCUGGCUGAUGGCCGAGAGGGACACAGACGUUCGUCUGACGGCGGGAGCUCCCGGCUGUGAGGACGGGGCCUGUCGUGGCAUGUGGGUGAGGCGUGUGCGCACACAGCAGAAGGCACGUCAGGGCGUCGCCGUGGAAAGGCGUGUGAGCAGCACAGACGGUUCCAGAGGGCUCAUCAGGCCCCUUCCCGCGUCAGAAGAAAGAACGGCUACCAGGAUAACUCAGGACACAAGCUACGUUGAGAGGGGAGCACGCCUGCGGGAAGGCUUCCGGAAGCUGCCGGCUGAUGCGGAGGGGCCCGGGGUCCCGGAGAAGCCGGCGGAGGCCCCCCCAAGAACGUUCACCGGGACACGUUCACCGUGGGAAACGGUAAACGGGUGCGGUUCGGGCCGGUCAGAAACGGUCCCGGAAGAGAGGUGGGCCACACGGGAGCCACGGAGGUGUCCGAGGUCAGCGCGCAGGGAAGCGAACGUGUCUCCCCGGAGCGUGCAGACCAGCACCCCACGGAGCGUCCGCGCUGCUCCGAGGCCCACGGCUUGUCUGGGAAAACCAUUGGAACGUCCGCGGUCGGGCUGGCCGGAGGUCAGGGGCGGCGCUGAGGUCCGGGGACUGUCGGUUAGGGAAGCGUGGCGUGCGUGACGUCCAGGCUAGCGGCCAGGACGAAACGUAAGUGAAAGACCCCCCGAGAUCAGAGGCAGGCAAGGAAGGAGAGCGAACGGACAGAGAACAGCGUCUCAGGAGGAGGAGCUCGGGUGUGUCAGAAUUGCCUCCGGCAGCGCCGAGCACGCGGCUCUGAGCGCCCUUCUGCCGGCCGGGCUGCUGGGGCCCCUUCGGGCUGAGGCCGCGAGCCUGAAGGACGUGCCGGGAGGGGGGGUCCGAGCUCGGGGCCGUCCAGGGGACAGGUGCUCUGGCCGGCGCGGGGCGCUGAGCCUCGGGAAGUGCCGGGUUCGAGCGUGCGGGGCCGCGUCCACACGGGAGCGAGCGAAGGAAGGACCGCGUGGGGAGGGCUCUGCGUCACAGCGCAGCCGUUGCGCGGCCGGCGGGCGGCUGACUCGGGCACGUGGCAGGAGAAGGUCUCGAGGCCCCCUGCGAUCGUGCAGCCGUGCCCGGGGUCCGCGGGGGGAGCGGCGGUCUCACUGCAGGUGAGAAGAGUCGCCGUCAGUGGCAAGACAGACGGACGGACGCACUGAGGGGACCCAGCGGCCCCUCUGCGGCCUUGUUCCAAAGGCAGAUGAGCUGAGCGACUGCGAAGAAACCUCAGAGGAGCCCAGAUCGGGGGUCGUUCCCCAGGGGAGGGCCUUGCCGUUUGGAAAAUGGCAAGGUCACGAGAGGCAGGCCGAGGGAGGCUCCCAGGCUCAGGCUUCUCGGACGAGCUGGUGGACGAGGCUCUGGGCGCUGUGGCCGCGGAGCUGGAGGACACGUGUGAGGACUACGCGGAAGCCGUGUUCACGUCGGAGUUCUUGGAGGCCGCCGCUUGAAGCCCGUCUCUGUGGCGGGCCUCCUCCCCGGGGCCCAUGGGUGGCCUUGGCCUCGGCUGUCCCUCCGGGCAGGGCCGCUGCCCUCGGAGAGGAAGGACGUGCGUCUCCGCGUCGUCGUGGCGGUGGAGCCGGUGGUUGAUGACGGUGGGUGUUCAUCGGUGCCCAGGAACCGUGAAUCGCCUGAUGAGACGGUGUUUUCCAAACUGUGGUUUUUCUGUUGAGAUAUCAGUGACGCGAGCGUCCUGGCAGGUGGUGGAAGACGUGUUUCACUCCCGGGGUCGAGAUGCUCCCAUCACCCCCCGUCACCCGGCCGUGAGCCUGCCAGUCCCCCGUGUGCGGCACCUCCUCUGGCUCUCAGCCCCUCGUGGUCCCCGGCCUCGCCCUGGGGGGGGCGUAUGGACGCAGACCUUGAAUUGAGGGGCCGGGAGGGCGCCCAGCUCACGUCCCUUCUGCGGGGUCGCGCCUCCCCCGCCUCCAGACCCACCGAGCAGCCUGGGUGGGAGGACGGAUGGGCCUGGAUGUGCUGCCCGCCCCCCCCCCCCCCCCAAGAAAGGAAGACACCUGAGAGCCGGGGCGCUCGGUGCCCUCGUCCCUCCUCUCCUCUCCCCUCCCCUCUCCGUCAGGAUUCACCAAGAGGAAAGCCUCUGAUUUUUCAGAAACGGAAAAGGCACGUGCGUGAGUUUUCCUUGACCGGAGCCCUGCUGAGGACCCACCCAAGGGGAGGAUUCGCGCCCAGGAUAACGUGCGUCUUCAUGACACACACGGCGUCACGUCUGGGACUUUUCUCCCAAGUACACGUGUUUCGGGGAGCGGUGCACCUGCCCCGUCACACGACCUGUGCAAAAUUGGGCUUUGUUUCGUGUGCGCACGCUCCUAAACGUGACACAGCCUCCUAAGGGAAAGUGCUCCCAGGUUACUGGAAGGUCUUCGAGGCGAGGGCGCGUGUGCACUUGGCAGGGCGUCUGCCGUCUGUAGCUGGAGUCGUUUGUGUGCUAGCGUUUGCUGUGAUUUGUAAAAUAAACUCAGGAUCUUAAAGGA